rnacentral:rRNA from 1 species
GAGUUUGAUCAUGGCUCAGGAUGAACGCUAGCGGCAGGCCUAACACAUGCAAGUCGAGGGGUAACAGAGAAGCUUGCUUCUGCUGACGACCGGCGCACGGGUGCGUAACGCGUAUACAAUUUGCCUUGUACUGGAGGAUAGCCCGGAGAAAUCCGGAUUAAUACUCCAUAAUAUCAUGAAUUCGCAUGUUUUUAUGAUUAAAGCUUCGGCGGUACAAGAUGAGUAUGCGUCCUAUUAGCUAGUUGGUGAGGUAACGGCUCACCAAGGCAGCGAUAGGUAGGGGGCCUGAGAGGGUUGUCCCCCACACUGGUACUGAGACACGGACCAGACUCCUACGGGAGGCAGCAGUGAGGAAUAUUGGUCAAUGGAGGGAACUCUGAACCAGCCAUGCCGCGUGAAGGAAGAAUGUCCUACGGAUUGUAAACUUCUUUUAUUUGGGAAGAAACUUCUCUACGUGUAGAGAACUGACGGUACCAAACGAAUAAGGACCGGCUAACUCCGUGCCAGCAGCCGCGGUAAUACGGAGGGUCCAAGCGUUAUCCGGAAUCAUUGGGUUUAAAGGGUUCGCAGGCGGUCCAUUAAGUCAGUGGUGAAAUCUCUCGGCUCAACCGAGAAACUGCCAUUGAUACUGAUGAACUUGAAUAUAGUUGAAGUAGGCGGAAUGUGUAGUGUAGCGGUGAAAUGCUUAGAUAUUACACAGAACACCGAUAGCGAAGGCAGCUUACUAAACUAUUAUUGACGCUCAUGAACGAAAGCGUGGGGAGCGAACAGGAUUAAAUACCCUGGUAGUCCACGCC